rnacentral:rRNA from 1 species
UUCCGGUUGAUCCUGCCGGACCCCACUGCUAUCGAGGUGGGACUAAGCCAUGCUAGUUGAGCGCACAGAACUAUGUCUGUGAGCGGCACACUGCUCAGUAACACGUAGCUAACCUACCCUUAGGACGUGGACAACCCCGAGAAAUUGGGGCUAAUCCGCGAUAGAUGUAUUGUCCUGGAAUGGUAUUACGUCUAAAGGUAUCCCAUACAUGUUUGGUAUAUGCCUAAGGAUGGGGCUGCGGCCGAUCAGGCUGUUGGUGAGGUAAUGGCUCACCAAACCUUUGACCGGUACGGGCCAUGAGAGUGGUAGCCCGGAGAUGGACACUGAGACAAGGGUCCAGGCCCUACGGGGCGCAGCAGGCUCGAAACCUCCUCAAUGCACUUACGUGCGAAGGGGCUACCUCGAGUGCCAUCUGAUGAAGGUGGCUUUUCCUAGGUCUAAAAAGCCUUGGGAAUAAGAGGGGGGCAAGACUGGUGUCAGCCGCCGCGGUAACACCAGCCCCUCGAGUGGUGGGGAUGAUUAUUGGGCCUAAAGCGUCCGUAGCCUGCCGUGUAAGUUUCCCGUUAAAUCCAGCGUCUUAAGCGUUGGACCGCGGGAAAUACUGUACGGCUAGAGAGUGGGAGAGGUCAGCGGUAUUCUUGGGGUAGGGGCGAAAUCCUUUGAUCCCCGGAGGACCACCAGUGGCGAAGGCUGCUGUCUAGAACACGUCUGACGGUCAGGGACGAAAGCUGGGGUAGCGAACCGGAUUAGAUACCCGGGUAGUCCCAGCCGUAAACGAUGCAUGCUAGGUGUUGGGUUGGCCACGAGCCACCCCAGUGCCGCAGGGAAGCCGUUAAGCAUGCCGCCUGGGAAGUACGAUCGCAAGGUUGAAACUUAAAGGAAUUGGCGGGGGAGCACCACCAGGCGUGAAGCCUGCGGUUUAAUUGGAAUCAACGCCGGU